rnacentral:rRNA from 1 species
UACGUAGGGGGCAAGCGUUGUCCGGAAUCAUUGGGCGUAAAGAGCGCGUAGGCGGCCCAGUAAGUCCGCUCUGAAAGUCAGGGGCUCAACCCCUGGAUGCGGGUGGAUACUGCUGGGCUAGAGUCCGGAAGAGGCGAGUGGAAUUCCUGGUGUAGCGGUGAAAUGCGCAGAUACCAGGAGGAACACCGAUGGCGAAGGCAGCUCGCUGGGACGGUACUGACGCUGAGGCGCGAAAGCGUGGGGAGCGAACAGG